GUGUAAUCAGAGCCAGGCCAAGAGCCCUCUGUAAGCUCUUCCGAUCACAGUGUUGUGAUUAGUCACACUUCCUGCUUGAAAACAGGCAGAUAGUAGAAAGGGAAAUCCUACUGUGAGGUUUGGAUAGGAUUGCAAAUGGGUCUUUUCUGCAAAUAAGGUUGAAAGAGGGAGGAGGAGGGAAGAAAUUUCUCUCGGGCUAGUGCUUGUUGAGCCUUAGAGAAAAGGGUACCCCGAGGUCCUGGGACCUCCAUUCCCUGCAUCUUCAUUAUGUGGUGGACUUGGCUGUUCAAGUGACUUUGACCAGCACUCAGAUUUGGUGGACCGUUGGGAUGUGGAUUGCUCAACUGAAUACUCUUAUAAACAUGCUGUUGGGGGAUUCACCCCAGGCGAUCAUCAGAUCAUGACAGUGUGCACAGUUGAUGGACACGUGAGGGAUGUGGCAGUCGAGCUUGGAGCAGAGAAGCUCCCUGCUUUGCAGCGUUAUUGUCAGCUCUUGAAGGUUCCUCGUUGCUUAGAAUUGAUGGAUCUGGAAGAAGAUUCUUGGAAAUUAUGCCAAAGCAGAAAUGAAAAAUGAAGAUGCAGUGAAAAUCUUGGAGGUGGGACCAGAGGAAUCUUUGAAGCUAUGGCACAGAGAGAACGAAGCAGAUGGGGACUCUGAAGGGAGGGUUGUCCUCCUGAGGGACUGGGUGGAAUGCUGGAAUAUGAUUUCAGGUGGGAAUAACCUGAGAGUGGCUGAAGAGGAGGAACCGUCCAGGAAUGAGACCGUCUUUACGAGGUCCGUUUGCAGUGGAAGCGUGAAUACCUGGGCGUGAGUCUCCUCAUUCUCUCACAGGCUGGUUCCUUCUCCACCAAAGGUGAAAGGUAGGUGAUGCUCAGAGUGGGUGUUCUCUGCCAGCUGGGGCAGCAAGUUAGUCCUGGCCGCUAUUUGGAAAUCGUUUCUGGAGUGACACCUCAGUGGCUUUUGUCUCAAUGCCUUUUGUCUGUGAGAACAAUGCUCUACUAUUAAAGACUGGGGAUGACACCAGUGGAGGUGAGACACAAGCCCGAUCUUGAUGAUCAUCAAAUCCAGCAAACUAGGACACUGACCCACAGUUUACCCCUUCGUAUGAAAAUAAGAGAGAGCCAGAAUUCCCAGUGAAAGAACUCUCAGAUUAUAUGCUUUAGAAUUCAAAUUCAAUUUCUUUUUCUUUAGGACAAUUUGAUACCUUAAUUCUAUAUUUAUAUAAAAAGACAUAUGAAGCAAGCAAUGGUUAUUCAGCAGAGGAUAUGUUUAAAUAGAGUAUCAGGUUCUCUCGGUGCGUUCAGGGAGAUUGGGAUUGACACAUACACACUACUAUAUAUAAAAUAGAUAACCAAUAAGGACCUACUGUGAAGCACAGGGAACUCUACUCAAUAUUCUGUAAUGACCUAUAUGGGAAAAGAAUCUAAAAGAGAGUAGAUAUCUGUAUAUGUAUAACUGAAUCACUUUGUUGUACACCCGAAACUAACACAACAUUGUAAAUCAACUAUACUCCAAUAAAAUUUUUUCUAAAAACUUAUCUUGGUGCAUAUAAAUAUGAUGUACUCCACAAAGAUGAAGUUAACAUACAACGUUUUAGGUCACAUCUCUGUGAACAGCAAGGUGCACUUGCUGUGUGAGGACACCAGACAGUGGCAACCUGUCCAUCUGCUGACAUGGAGAAGAGGAGCUAAUAGGUAUUUUUCAGCUGAACC